GACAGAGGAUGCAAGCGUUAUCCGGAAUCAUUGGGUUUAAAGGUCCGUAGGCGGUUUAAUAAGUCAGUGGUGAAAGCCCAUCGCUCAACGGUGGAACGGCCAUUGAUACUGUUAAACUUGAAUUAUUAGGAAGUAACUAGAAUAUGUAGUGUAGCGGUGAAAUGCUUAGAGAUUACAUGGAAUACCAAUUGCGAAGGCAGGUUACUACUAAUGGAUUGACGCUGAUGGACGAAAGCGUGGGUAGCGAACAGGA
rnacentral:rRNA from 1 species